rnacentral:lncRNA from 1 species
UCUUGAAUUAUGACUUAAAUUCUGAAAAAAAAAAUUCAUUUUUGAAAUUGUAAUCUUAUUACAUUGAAAACUAAAAUUGCUUCGAAAAAGUAUAAAAAAAAAAGGUUAUCAAACGCGUCAUAAAAUAGAAGACGAAGAACAGUACUCUUUAAACUAAAUCCAAUUCUCUGACUUCAAUCAAAAGAAGUAUAAAAUCCCUAGAUGCUUCCUAAUCCAAGCAUGGAUUUUGGUUCAUUGAGCUCCAUUAAGCAGACCCUGAGAGAGAAUUUAAUUGUAGUUUAAUAAAAAUCAACGUUUAAAUUAUCGAUUGUGCUAUAUUUAUGUCACGACUUACAAAUGUGAUAAAAUUUGAUUGGAUCAAAAUCUUAAAAAUCAAAUUAAAAAGAAAAAGAAAAAAGAGUAAUGUUACUUGUGCAUAAUAGAAUUACCUAAUGGUUCAUAUAUAGAUGAAAUGUCAAAAAGAGAAUGGAGAUUUUUUUUGGGGAAAAUUGCAGCAUAAGUCCCAAACUUUUGAAACAUUAGCAGACAUUUUCCAAACAUUUCAUUUGUUGUAGCCGUCACCCCCAACAUUUUCAGAUGUUGUAUGUGAGGUCCCUUUAGAUGAUUUCCGUAAAAAAUUUCGACACUUGACCAUCAAAAUAAACUUUGACAAUCUUUUAAUCAAUUUUAAAAGGGUAAAACGGUAACUUUCUAUUUACCACAUUAAACAAUUAAAAAACUUAAAUCAAAAACCAAAAAAAAAAAAAGGAAAGAAAAUCCAUCUUCUUUCCCACCCCACCCCUUCAAUCUAAAACAAAAUGCAUGGCCAGAAGCAGCCUGUACAAACAAGGAGAUGCAACACAUUACCAAAAUUGAUCCCAAAGUAAAUUCACUCGCCCAAGCAAAUAACACAGAAACCCCGCCACCGUUUUCACCACCCACAAACUCCAUAACGGCCCUCUCAUCCCAAACCUCCGCCCCAUCUCGUCGAAAAUCAACUCGCCUGCUGGUCGAGACACGUAAUUUGUUAGAAUUUAUUGAAUGAAGAAACUUCAAUUGAACUCCAUAAAGGAGAAGAACAAACUCCAUAAUAUGAGAAGAAAAGGCACUCCAUGAAGGGAGGAAAUACACUCCAUGAAGGAGGAGAGAAACCUCCGUAAAAGGAGGGAUUGGAAAACUAUACUCCAAUGAAUUACAAUGAACAACCGGUUGUGUAUUUAUAGAGAAAAUGUCUAACUAAACUAACUGUCAACUACUAACUACUAUGACGAUUGGAAGAGAAUCUUGUGAGCUGGAGAAUUUGUUACAGCUAGAAGGAUCCAUGUGAAAUGAAUCUAGAACGUUGAAUCUGAAGUCUGGAUUGCUCAACUACAAGGGAUCUGGUGCAAUUCUAAUACACGCCCCUCAAGAUGGACUAUCCAUCUUGUCCAUCUUGAAGAUUAAGGGGAAUGGAUGCAAAAAAAAGUUCUGGUAAAAACAAUGGCUUCUGCAUCUGAAGAAGAAUGUCUUCUGAUGAUGAUCAACCCAGAAGAAGAAACGUCUUCUUUUGGCUUUUAACUAAGUGAUUAUUUUCAAUCUGAUGGCGUUGAUUGUUCCGUCAUUCAUCAGCGAUUCCAGAACAUCAUUCUCAUUAACAAUCAGGUCAUCUGGUCUGUACUUCCAAAAGUUAGGAUCCUGCCUCAACAGAGUUUAAACUUCUUCCUUCUCAACAUAUGAUAUCCCACAAUAUUGUGGAUCAAUAAGAAAGCCAACAAAUGAAAUGUAUUCAACAGGCACCUGUUGAAGCCUAUUAAUCUAGUGGAUGAAACACUCGAGUUAUCGAAAGAUCUACAACUGCAGCAUCAGGUAGUGGCAACAAAGACAAAACUCUGCAUGAUGCAUGUGAUUGAUUGGCUAUGGAGAAGCAAAGAUUUAUUUUAGUUUGCUGAUUCAUUUCGCAAUAAGCUCAAAUUCUUCUAUGAACUGGAAAAUGUUGCUACCAGUUUUUAUUUUCUGAACAUGAAUGUCUUUUGUACUUUGAAGGUUCCGCCCAUUAACAACAGCCUUCAGAAAACACAGAAUUGCUGAAAAAAAUCAUGAUUCCAGUAGAAUGUUGGAAAUGAUAGCAGCAAAAUUCUGGAAAAGAAGAGCAAAAAUCUGAAGUCAAAGUUAUCUUCAGAUGUCGACAAAUUGAAGAAUGAUCUGUAUGAACUGUGAUAAAUCUGCUUUCGUUGAGUAGAAGACAGGAAGAAUGAGAUGAAUUAAAUUUCAGGAAAACGACAGCAGGAAGGAAAUUCUUUUGCUCUAAUACCACGUUAGAAAAUUUCAAUUGAACUCCAUAAAGGAGAAAAACAAACUCCAUAAUAGGAGAAGAAAAGGCAAUCCAUGAAAAGAGGAAAUACAUUCCAUGAAGGAGGAGAGAAACCUCCAUAAAAGGAGGGAUUGUAAGACUAUACUCCAAUGAAUUACAAUGAACAACCGGUUGUGUAUUUAUAGAGAAAAUGUCUAACUAAACUAACUAUCAACUACUAACUACUAUGACAAUUGGAAGAGAAUCUUGUGAGCUGGAGAAUCUAUUACA